rnacentral:sRNA from 1 species
GCAAAUGUGGAUGAUAUAGCUGAGAACGUAACUGGAGAUGAUGGUAUAGUCGUCCUAGAAGGGGUUUCUGCAAGUGGGUUAAAUAUUGAAUAUGACGACCGUCUAGUGACAACAUGUGAAGCCUACGAAGUGUAUAAAGGGUUUUCUA